GUGCAAAUCCUUCUCCUCCCUCAGCCAUCUUAGGAGGAAUGUUUUCCAUCCCUGCAGUCUCCAUUUUAUGGUUCUGACGCAGAAAAUAAGCAGGAGGCUGAGCAGACCCCCCCAGACUGCCUGGAAGCAGGAUGGAGCUCAGGUUUCAGCCCUUGUCCGGGUUCCCCAGCCGAGAGGGACUUUCCUGUUUUCAUUGUUCGGGACGCUGAGAUCUGUCCUUGUUCUUUCUUUCCUUCCUGCCCGUGCAUGUCUGGGGGGGGGGGGGGGGAGGUUGUUGCCUCUGCUCUGUCACCAACAAAUCCUGGCAACAGCACCUUUCCCAGCUGUGUGGAGAGUCCCAGGAGAGCUGCCAGCCUGUGGUAUUGAGCAACUCUUGUCAUCAUCUCUAUUUGGAGGAACUUUUUCUGUGUUAUUCAUCACUGCAUCCUUCAUGUUGUGCAGUGCUGUGGCGUGAGCAGGCGUUUCCCAAUCCAGAAUAUGAAGCAAGCCAGUGAUCCAAACUGCUGGAGGCUUCUUCCACUUCACUGAACCAACCAAAAAAAAGUGCUGGGGGCUCAGAGCUAGACUGAGGGAUCUGUGGUGCCUUCCUGGUCCCUGCAUCUCUGCAGGCUCUUGCUCUGCACGGCACAUCUCUCCCUUCUGUGAGAGGUCUGUGAACUUCCAUAGGGCUCCUGGGAUUGUCUGUGGGUUUUCCAGGCUCAGGAGUGCAGUUCAAGGGCUUUGGGGGUUUUUUUUUUGUGGCAUCUCAAAGCUGAGAACCAAACUGCAGGGCCCUCCCCCUUACAGGUACGUGCACAGAGAUAGCAGCUGGUGUCAAUGCAACCAACUUCACCCAGCUCCAGAACCUGCCUGAGGUGUGGAUUAAAUACUUUGAAAUUUGGGCCAAGUCCAUCAGCAAACCUGAACAAAAGGUUCCCUGGGAAAGCUGACUUGUUUCCAGCCCGUUUAGAUGAGUCUGCACAGGCAGCUCAUCCAUCAGUGUCAGGGAGAUGGGGGAUGUCCUGCAGGACCGCUCCUUCUUACUCAGCUCUGUUCCCUCCACGUAGUGAGUCCUGGUUCCCCCUGUGUUUAUCAAGUCCUAAGCCCGGUUUACUCCCAAAUUCUCACAUCCCUUUUGUUGCUUUCCUUAAAAACUGUGAUUUUGCAGCUCAGUGGAGCUCUUUGAUUUGUUUUUGCCUUUCCCAGAACCCCACACCAAGAUGCUGCUCGGGAAGAAAACAAACGUCACGAGAGCCACUGUGGUUCCUGGGGGUAGUUCAGAUGAGUAUCUUUUCCUUUAAAUAUCCUAAGCUAAAGCUGCCUUUGUCUGUGAUCCUGUGCAUGCCUGCAUAUACGAAAAUAGGUCAGUGACUCCGUGCUGGCCCCAGGCGCCAGCCCGGCUGCGGCAGAGGCACCACGGAGAAGCAGCACAGCCAUAGGUCAGCUCUGAGGGAGGGAUGCUCAUCCUCCCUGCCCUGUUACUGGGCAGCUUCCUGCUCCAGGGAAUGCUGAUGGGCUGGGGGACAGUGCUGGGGGUGCAGCACCCCCGUGUUGAAGUGGGAUUGCCCGGCACAGUUGGGGUUCUGAGCUUUUGUGGUCACCCUGGGAUGGGCACAGACCCCCCCUGCUUAUCCCAGCCCAUGGAGAAGCAGUGAGUUUCUGGGCACUGAGCAGUGGGAUGCCCCAGUCACCCCUCCCGUGGUGUGGAGCUGAUGGAGUCACAGGAAGGGUGCAGAGCUUUUCCACGAGUGAGUCCCAGGAAUGCUGGUGGGAUUCCUGGAGAAGGGAUGUCUGUGGCAGCCUGAUUCCACUGCAACACAGAGGAGAGGGCAUUAACAAGGGGUGGGGCAGUGUAGGGAUUGUGAUGUUGUUGGGUAUCUUUCUGUCAUCCUUCCAGCCCCAAACCUGCAAACAGAUCUCCAGAAACACUUCCCCCUGUGCCACUCCAUAAAUCCUUUGGAGUUCAGUGGCUUGCACCGAGCUUUGAUGUGUGGGUGGAUAUUGUGGAGAUCAUCUCUGCAUUCAUUUAAGGCAAUAGAUGUCUUUAAUGAGGUUACCUUGCUAAAGACUUCUGUGGAUGGAGCACUUCUGUGAGGGAAGGCUAAGAGAAUUGGGAUUGUUCAGCCUGGAGAAGAAAAGGCUCCAGGGAGACCUGAGAGCCCCUUCCAGGGCCUAAAGGGGCUCCAGGAGAGCUGGAGAGGGAUUUUGGACAAGAGUCUGGAGGGACAGGACAAGGGGGAAUGGCUUCCCACUGCCAGAGGGCAGGGUUAGAUGGGAUAUUGGGAAGGAAUCAUUCCCUGUGAGGGUGGGGAGGCCCUGGCACAGGUUGCCCAGAGAAGCUGUGGCUGCCCCAUCCCUGGAAGUGUCCAAGGCCAGGUUGGACAGGGCUUGGAGCAACCUGGGCUAGUGGGAGGUGUCCCUGCCCAUGGCAGGGGUGGGACCAAGAUGAUCUUUAAGGUCCCUUCCACCCUAAGCCACUCUGGGAUUUUGAGUGACUUUUCCUCUAAGCAGAGAUCAGCAUCUUCCCCUAGGAAAAACUUGCAUUUAUCAUUGCUUUGUUCCUUGUGUGAUUCCACCUCCAUGCUCCCUGCAGAGUUUUCCCUGUCUGGUGUUGCACAAAAGGUGACCAGACAGGCUCACACACACCAGAUUUAUCCUCAGAACCUGGUGCCAGAGCUAAACAUCAACUACAGCAGUAAAAGUUCCUUUCUGGGGUGUGGGGAGGGGGAUUUAACAGGAGAAAAGAGAGAAAAGGGAAAGGGAAAACUCCCCAGUGGCCACCUGGGAUGAGACCACAGGGGGAGUCUCCCCCAACAAGCACUUUCUCCAGUGCAGCAGGGACUCCCCCAGGCACUUUUCCUACUCCUUGAACCUUCCCAUUGUCAAUCCUGACGCUGGGGGUGUUGACUGGAGGCAGCUUUGAUUAGGGGCAGAUGCUAAUUGCCCGUUAAGCUCAGCUCUGCCCAGCCCCGCUGAUGUUUAGUGGAUGUUUUAACGACCCUUGUCCCCUUUUGUUGUCCCGGGAGGGUCCUGGAGCGAGGUCACGGCAGGAAGAAAGGGCAGGAAAAGGGAGAUCGGCAUUCCCAGCAGUUGUAAUUAACUCUUCUAUUGUAAUUGCUUCUAAUUACCACACAGCACAACAGUGCUGGGCUCAUUUAGGGAGAUAAGGGAGAGGACUUAGGGGUCUGCAGGUUAGGCCACUGUGUGGGCUCAGGGUUAGUCUGGAUUUGUCAGCUCUCACAAGGAAAAGGACGCUGGAAAACCUCUUCUCCCUGCUCUGUCUGCUCCACACCCUGUCUGACAGUAGGGACUUUUUUCCAUAGUCUCCUUUUCUUCCUUAUCCUGCUUCCUGGGAAUGAUUUUUAGCAUCCUAAUGACCAGCCAGCCAUGGGUUUAAAUUCUGUGUUUAAUUUCUAGAGAAAACCCAAACAUGCUACCAGUGUCUUUUACCUCCUUGGACAACAGUUAUUCCCCUAGACCUGCUAAAUUCCAGCUUUAUUCCCUAAGGUUCUGGGUAAACUGCCCCCAUUCCUGUAUGGGAGGCAGCUUUGUCAUCUCAUUUUGAUUUAGGGAGAAUCUACAUAAGGAAAGUUUGGACUUGAUGGAUCUUUAAGAUCCAAACAAUGUUUUUCUUUAUAUAUAUGUUCUAGAAAAUCUGUGCUCCUUGUCCUUGUUCCCAUUCAUAAAUGUGGUUGCUUGGCUUCACACCCCCAUCCUGCUUUUUUUAAAGGCAGGAAAAAAAAAAGAAGAGUUAAGAACUCCCCAUUUGUCUUCCCAAAAUACCCUGAGCAGGUCUCAGUUGCCCUGGUUUUUUAAGGCAGGGAAUUCUGGGUUGUCCAUACAGGAGAAAUCUGAUGUUUGAAAUGCAUCUGGUAAAACUCCAGUGGAAAAAGUCAUUUUCUCCGGACACGUUUAAUUCCAAGUUAAUAAAAUUUUGGCUGUGCAAUGUCAGUAGGAAAAUCUCAUCCCGAUCUUUUUUUUUCCUUUCUUCAGUUCCAGAAGUCAGAUCUAAAUGCUCAGAUCUAAAAGGCCUCCUGCAGCAGAACUGUUAAGUUUUCCCAGUCCUGUUUAGCCUUGCUGUGGGAUAAUGGGGAGGAAGGGAGUGAGGGAGGAAUUGGGAGAGCAGCACCCCGUGUCUGAACUGUGAACCAGGGAGGAUGAGCUCCCUAAAGCCACCACCUCAAAUGAGAAACAGGGGAGUGGAAAAUAAAUCUGAUGUUGUUCCUAACGCUGGAACCUUUACAAAGUUUGAAAAUACAGGAUGGAUGGAAUAGCUCAGGAAUGCCUGUUCCUGUAAUUUUUUUUUUCCUUUUAUUGAUCAGAGCACUAUUUUUAUAUUUCAGAUGCAUUUGGGGCUUAGAGGACUCUCUCUGGAAGGGAUGCUGACUCUGCCCUUGCUGAUGAUCCUUCUGGAAGCAUCUCCUGCUCCCAGAGUGGCCUGAGUAUGAUCCUGUGUGUGAGCUCCAUCUCCUUGGCUCAAAGCAGGUCCUAACGUGUGGGUGUCCUCAGGGGGAUGGCUCUAGCCUGGAGAGUCUGGAGCAGAGAUGCACAGAACUAGAGAAUUCAUCUCUCUGCAAGUGUCUGCUGAGAACUUGAGGACAGGCUUAAACAGGACAAAAGGACAGAUUUUUAAUGUGCAGUGGAAUAUUCUGAACUUCCCAGCUGACACAGUUAAGAUAAGAGUGACAAAUCUGUGGGGGAAAAUUGACA